AAUCGCCUCCCCUCGCGCGCUAACCCAUCGCCCUCCCCCCUUGCGCAACCGUCGUGGGAUCGCCGGCCGCUGGACCGCCUUCCCCCCUUACGCAACCACCGCUCGCUCGCUCACCGGAUCUGGUCCACGCCGCCGGCCAUCAAAGCGCCCUCGCUCUGGCGCCCUUUGAGAAGCAGAACUACCCCCGCCCCGAGGACUGGCCGCGGCCCUGAGCUGCCAUUUCUUAUCUUCCUCGCAGCGCCGGCGCUCCAUCUUCUGCUCCCUCCCCGACUCGCGUUCGGCAUGAAGGCGACGCUCCAUCUUCUGCUCCAUCCCCCACUCGCGCUUGGCGUGGAGGCGACGGAGGCGGCGCUCAGGCUCGGGCUCUCAGCGACGGCGGGGCAGUCCCAGGCUCGGCGGCGGCGUCAGCGGCUCCUCCUCCCGCCUCUCGCCAGUCGCCUCGCGACCUCGCCUCCGUCUUCAGCACACCGGCCGGCGAUUCUGCGUUCUUUAUCAACUCUGGAACCGGGGAUUUCAUCAGUCUACCUGUGUCAGCGGGCGCACUCUGCAACAUAUAGCUAUACGCUGGAUGACAGGUUACAGGGAGAGCUAGAUGAUUUCAAUGGAGACCAGAAAAAGCAAGAGACAGUCGGUGCGUUUCAGAAAAUACCAAUGGUGAUGCCUGCAACUGAUAUACUAAUGUCAGCACAAAGAAAAUCUAGAAAUGUGCCACCAACAAAGGGUAUAGCAAAUAUAGCUAAGCGUGAAAGGAACAAAGGUGCGAAACAGCUUGAUGCCUUAAUGAAAGAACUUUCUGUACCGCUGAGAACAUACACAGAAAACUUCCCAAAGAGGAGAGAUUUGCAUCCUUAUGAGAGGUCUCUCAUUGAGUUGACUUUUGGGGAGGGUUAUUAUGAGCAGGUUCUAGGACGUGUGGAUGCUCUCAGGAAAAGGAUUACCUCUGUUGGAAAGCAACACGCUUCAGUCUGUGCUAAGUCAACAACAAAGCGUGAAGCAGAGGAGCGCCUCACCGAGGUCUGUUCAGGGCAGAAAGAAACUUGAAGAGUCUUUCCAGCAUGGGAAGCAUGCCGUUGAUGAUUUAGUAAAUGUUGCAAAGCUGUGAGAGAGGAGGUGGAGUCACUGGGGAGGAGGUACGCGGCUGGACUUGGAUCUGCUAGGGUUCGAGCUUGAUGACAGCACACUAGUCCCUGGCGUCGCCGUGGAAUCAUCUCGCGCCAAGCCUCUAGCCGAGCAGGACCUAUCGGAGGGGACUCGGAGCACCUUGGGCAGGUGCGAGCUCUCCACACCCUGGGGGCACUCACCCUGGUCGGCUUGGCCAGAUGGGGGCUCGGGACACGACGGAGGCCACGGCGACGACGGGUCGGAGUCACAGCACUAGGGAUGAGGCGCUAGCGACUUCGAGCAGUGAUAUUCAUGUGGACUUGUGGUUUAUGUUAUGAACUUUUGGUUUAUGUUGAACUUUAUGUUAGAUUUGUCAUAUCUAUGUGGAUUUGUGAUAUCUGUGGACUUCGAUAUGUUUCAUGUGUGAUAUAUAUGUGGAUUGUGAUAUA